UACGUAGGGGGCAAGCGUUAUCCGGAUUUACUGGGUGUAAAGGGAGCGUAGACGGCAGUGCAAGUCUGAUGUGAAAGGCAUGGGCUCAACCCGUGGACUGCAUUGGAAACUGUACAGCUGGAGUGCCGGAGGGGUAAGCGGAAUUCCUAGUGUAGCGGUGAAAUGCGUAGAUAUUAGGAGGAACACCAGUGGCGAAGGCGGCUUACUGGACGGUAACUGACGUUGAGGCUCGAAAGCGUGGGGAG
rnacentral:rRNA from 1 species